rnacentral:rRNA from 1 species
UGGGGAAUAUUGCACAAUGGGCGCAAGCCUGAUGCAGCAAUGCCGCGUGAGUGAAGACGGCCUUAGGGUUGUAAAACUCUUUCGCUAGGGAAGAUAAUGACGGUACCUAGUAAAGAAGUCCCGGCUAACUCCGUGCCAGCAGCCGCGGUAAUACGGAGGGGGUUAGCGUUGUUCGGAAUUACUGGGCGUAAAGCGCACGUAGGCGGACCAGAAAGUUGGGGGUGAAAUCCCGGGGGCUCAACCCCGGAACUGCCUCCAAAACUAUUGGUCUAGAGUUCGAGAGAGGUGAGUGGAAUUCCAAGUGUAGAGGUGAAAUUCGUAGAUAUUUGGAGGAACACCAGUGGCGAAGGCGGCUCACUGGCUCGAUACUGACGCUGAGGUGCGAAAGUGUGGGGAGCAAACAGGAUUAGAUACCCUGGUAGUCCACACCGUAAAACGAUGAAUGCCAGUCGUCGGGUAGCAUGCUAUUCGGUGACACA